CCCCUAUUGUUAGUUGCCAUCAUUCAGUUGGGCACUCUAGCGAGACUGCCGGUAAUAAACCGGAGGAAGGUGGGGAUGACGUCAAAUCAUCAUGCCCCUUAUGACCUGGGCUACACACGUGCUACAAUGGUUGGUACAACGAGUUGCGAGUCGGUGACGGCGAGCUAAUCUCUUAAAGCCAAUCUCAGUUCGGAUUUGUAGGCUGCAACUCGCCUACAUGAAGUCGGAAUCGCUAGUAAUCGCGGAUCAGCACGCCGCGGUGAAUACGUUCCCGGGCCUU
rnacentral:rRNA from 1 species